AUUGAACGCUGGCGGCAUGCCUUACACAUGCAAGUCGAACGGCAGCACGGGUGCUUGCACCUGGUGGCGAGUGGCGAACGGGUGAGUAAUACAUCGGAACAUGUCCUGUAGUGGGGGAUAGCCCGGCGAAAGCCGGAUUAAUACCGCAUACGAUCUACGGAUGAAAGCGGGGGCCCUUCGGGCCUCGCGCUAUAGGGUUGGCCGAUGGCUGAUUAGCUAGUUGGUGGGGUAAAGGCCUACCAAGGCGACGAUCAGUAGCUGGUCUGAGAGGACGACCAGCCACACUGGGACUGAGACACGGCCCAGACUCCUACGGGAGGCAGCAGUGGGGAAUUUUGGACAAUGGGCGAAAGCCUGAUCCAGCAAUGCCGCGUGUGUGAAGAAGGCCUUCGGGUUGUAAAGCACUUUUGUCCGGAAAGAAAACCUUGGCCCUAAUACGGUCGGGGGAUGACGGUACCGGAAGAAUAAGCACCGGCUAACUACGUG
rnacentral:rRNA from 1 species